CACUGAUGUAAGAUCGGGUUACGAUAUUCUAAGAUGACGGAGGCAUCGAGGAUGUGGCCAUCAAAGCUUCGCAAACCAAGGGAGCUCGACGCGACUCACGGACACGGACAAGAGGACGGCCGACCGGCGUGACGGACGAUUCCAAUGAGCCCGUCCAAUCGAUGGAAUUGGAUUGCAUGCCUUCAAGUCUUUCCUUUUCUUUUGUGCUCUCCACCUACGGUGUAAGCUUGACGAAACUGUGCCUAAUUAUUGGAAUGAUCAAACCAUGAAGGCCGCAUUCUAAUGGCAUACACAUCUCUGGUCAGGAGAGCAGCAGGUCAAUUUCGAGCCAGAAAUUUCACGUCUCCCUUCAAAUGCAAGUGUAAUGAGAUCUAAGAAGAAGUCGGUGAAGGAGAGAAAACUCGAAUCUUGGGCUUGUUUUGGCGUUCAUGGAUGUCAAAUCCUCCCUAGUCAGAAUGCUUGUCGGGAACGCAACUGAUCCUGGGAACCUGAAUCGCCAUCAUCCGCGACAAUGGGGAGUCUCUUCCGUCUUCCUCGAGGGGAAGGUUCUCUUACCUUACCCGUCUCUCUCUCUCUAGUCGAGUGAUCGAGGUCAGGAAGGAGUAAAAGACCUUGGUUCCCUUGGCCACCAUGGAUUGCGAUGUGGUGGCUGUGGAGAGCAUGUACGUGGGUUACCAUCAUGCAUCAUGCAUGGAUUGCGAAGGAUGCUUCCGACUAUUCCCUGUCCUAUCUCCAUCAUAAUCUGUAUCUCUCACAUAUCAGCUUAAUUUUCUUGGUUCAUGCAUUGCAGUAAAAUAUCUCUCACAAUCAAUCAUUUCUCCAUGUUUCCGUA